rnacentral:rRNA from 1 species
AUCCGUCUUGCUGGAUGCUGACGAGCGGCGGACGGGUGAGUAAUGCAUAGGAAUCUGCCCGAUAGUGGGGGAUAACCUGGGGAAACCCAGGCUAAUACCGCAUACGUCCUACGGGAGAAAGGGGGCUUCGGCUCCCGCUAUCGGAUGAGCCUAUGUCGGAUUAGCUAGUUGGUGAGGUAACGGCUCACCAAGGCCACGAUCCGUAGCUGGUCUGAGAGGAUGAUCAGCCACAUCGGGACUGAGACACGGCCCGAACUCCUACGGGAGGCAGCAGUGGGGAAUAUUGGACAAUGGGGGGAACCCUGAUCCAGCCAUGCCGCGUGUGUGAAGAAGGCCCUCGGGUUGUAAAGCACUUUCAGCGAGGAAGAACGCCUAGCGGUUAAUACCCGCUAGGAAAGACAUCACUCGCAGAAGAAGCACCGGCUAACUCCGUGCCAGCAGCCGCGGUAAUACGGAGGGUGCAAGCGUUAAUCGGAAUUACUGGGCGUAAAGCGCGCGUAGGUGGCUUGAUAAGCCGGUUGUGAAAGCCCCGGGCUCAACCUGGGAACGGCAUCCGGAACUGUCAAGCUAGAGUGCAGGAGAGGAAGGUAGAAUUCCCGGUGUAGCGGUGAAAUGCGUAGAGAUCGGGAGGAAUACCAGUGGCGAAGGCGGCCUUCUGGACUGACACUGACACUGAGGUGCGAAAGCGUGGGUAGCAAACAGGAUUAGAUACCCUGGUAGUCCACGCCGUAAACGAUGUCGACCAGCCGUUGGGUGCCUAGCGCACUUUGUGGCGAAGUUAACGCGAUAAGUCGACCGCCUGGGGAGUACGGGCCGCAAGGUUAAAACUCAAAUGAAUUUGACGGGGGCCCGCACAAGCGGUGGAGCAUGUGGUUUAAUUUCGAUGCAACGCGAGAACCUUACCUACUCUUGACAUCCUGCGAAAUUUGGGUAGAGAUACCUUAGUGCCUUUCGGGAACGCAGAGACAGUGCUGCAUGGCUGUCGUCAGCUCGUGUGUGAAUGUGGGUUAAGUCCCGUUACCGAGCGCACCGUUGUCCUAUUGGCAGCGCGUUAUGGGCAUACCUCUUAGGAGACCUGGCCGGUGUGACA